ACUACGAGUGGCAGCAGUGGGGAAUAUUGCACAAUGGGGGGAACCCUGAUGCAGCAACGCCGCGUGGGUGAAGAAGUACUUCGGUAUGUAAAGCCCUGUCAGCAGGGAAGAAAAUGACGGUACCUGACCAAGAAGCCCCGGCUAACUACGUGCCAGCAGCCGCGGUAAUACGUAGGGGGCAAGCGGUAUCCGGAUUUACUGGGUGUAAAGGGAGCAUAGACGGCAAGGCAAGUCUGGAGUGAAAGCCCGUGGCUAAAACACGGGACUGCUUUGGACACUGUGUGGCUGGAGUGCAGGAGGGGUAAGCGGAAUUCCUAGUGUAGCGGUGAAAUGCGUAGAUAUUAGGAGGAACACCGGUGGCGAAGGCGGCUUACUGGACUGUAACUGACGUUGAGGCUCGAAGGCGUGGGGAGCAAACAGGAUUAGAUACCCGAGUAGUC
rnacentral:rRNA from 1 species